GUGCUCGCUUCGGCAGCACAUAUACUAAAAUUGGACUGAUACAGAGAAGAUUAGCAUGGCCCCUGCACAAGGAUGACAGGCAAAUUUGUGAAGCGUAAAAAGAAAAA
ensembl:snRNA U6 U6 spliceosomal RNA